rnacentral:rRNA from 1 species
UACGUAGGGGGCGAGCGUUGUCCGAAGUUACUGGGCGUAAAGCGCGCGUAGGCGGCUUCUUAAGUCUGGGGUGAAAGGUUCAGCGCUCAACGCGAACAGUGCCUUGGAUACUGGGGAGCUUGAGUUCGGGAGGGGGCAGUGGAAUUCCGGGUGUAGCGGUGAAAUGCGUAGAUAUCGGGAGGAACACCAGUGGCGAAGGCGACUACCUGGCCUGUUUCUUGACGCUGAGGCGCGAAAGCUAGGGGAGCAAACGGG